GCACUGAAGGCAGAGAAGGCGAGAGGUUAGCGGAUGGUUUAGACUCAAGCUGGGAACCUAAUUCAGACAGGAGCUUGCUGAAUAAGCGCGAUGUUUUGGACAGGAAGGACUGGAGCUGGAGGUUUUCUCAGUGAUCGCAGAAGCGGGCGGCGGAGUCACUGCUACCGGAUCGUCUACCGCCACAUGGAGCGGACCCUGACCCAGCAGGAGGUGCGGCAGGUCCACGAGCAGAUCGAGCGCACGGCGGAGGCCCAGCUGGGGGUUCAGGGCCGAUACUGACUCACGCAUCACAUUUACCGCCUGUAUAGAUUCUCAGAGCUGUUAAGCUGCUUCGUCACGUCUCUGAAGCUGUGGCUUUUCGCCGCAGGGAGAAUCGUGUUCAACGCAGGCGUCACAGCCUGCUUUAGAUGCUGCUGCAGCGGCGGCGCUUCGUCAACCCCCCCCCCUCCGCUGCUCUCGCAUCUCCAGCCUUAAAUGUGUGAAUCUGACGUGUGUCAUCUUUAAUUUCCACAAACAUCAUCUGCGCUUUGGGCGCCGGCAUCUGUCUGUGACUCGUCUGGCUGCAGGGUUAUGGAGGCUCUGUGACUCACUGGUCCAUCCAGACACCAGCUUCCUGCAGCCAUGUUUUAGUUGAUUUUCCCACUAAAACCUGCUGGGAUCUAAUGGUUAAAACCUGCAUUAUAGUCUCUAGAUCUAGACUUAAACACAGUCAGGAGGAAAACAUUUAAGUUUAAACUAUUAAAGAACCAAAUAUUGUCCCCAUUAAAUGGGGAGAAAU